rnacentral:rRNA from 1 species
CCCUUAGAUGUUCUGGGCCGCACGCGCGCUACACUGAUGCAUUCAACGAGUCUAAAACCUGCUCUGAUAGGGGUGGGUAAUCUUUUGAAUGUGCAUCGUGAUUGGGAUAGAUGAUUGAAAUUUUUCAUCUUCAACGAGGAGUGCCUAGUAAACGCAAGUCAUCAGCUUGCAUUGAUUACGUCCCUGCCCUUUGUACACACCGCCCGUCGCUCCUACCGAUUGAAUGAUCCGAUGAAUAUCAUGGAUUGAGGAUGCAAGUAGGUUCACCUAUCUUCAUCUUCGAGAAGUGAAGUAAAUCUUAUCAUUUAGAGGAAGGAGAAGUCGUAACA